rnacentral:misc_RNA from 1 species
UACUGAGGAUGAUCAUGCCAUUGCGAAAAUCUUGGCGGAAGAAGAAGAAAUUGCUUCGAGGUAUGGGGGCAAGCUUGGGAACAGACUCUCUCAUUUGGACUCAAUCCCGCACACUCCAAGGGUUAUUGGGCAGAUACCUGAUCCUAAUGAUGCCACACUUGACCACGGGAGGCUAUCUGGCAGGUUGGCAGCAUAUGGCCUUGCUGAGUUUCAAAUUCAAGGAGAUGGAAAUUGCCAGUUUCGAGCCCUUGCAGAUCAGUUGUAUCAUAAUCCAG